rnacentral:rRNA from 1 species
AGCGAACGCUGGCGGCAGGCCUAACACAUGCAAGUCGAACGAACCUUUCGGGGUUAGUGGCGGACGGGUGAGUAACACGUGGGAACGUGCCUUUAGGUUCGGAAUAACUCAGGGAAACUUGUGCUAAUACCGAAUGUGCCCUUCGGGGGAAAGAUUUAUCGCCUUUAGAGCGGCCCGCGUCGGAUUAGCUAGUUGGUUGAGGUAAUGGCUCACCAAGGCGACGAUCAGUAGCUGGUCUGAGAGGAUGAUCAGCCACAUUGGGACUGAGACGCGGCCCAAACUCCUACGGGAGGCAGCAGUGGGGAAUCUUGCGCAAUGGGCGAAAGCCUGACGCAGCCAUGCCGCGUGAAUGAUGAAGGUCUUAGGAUUGUAAAAUUCUUUCACCGGGGACGAUAAUGACGGUACCCGGAGAAGAAGCCCCGGCUAACUUCGUG